GGUAUAGAAAGGUUCCACAGCUUGGAGACACAUGGGAAAGCUCAAGAGAGAAUGACAAAAAUGAUCUGGGAGACAAGUCUAUCACUAUGAUCCAUCACCUGCACCCAUCAUCUGGAAUAUAUUUCUGGGCCCAUCUGGGGACUGGCUUCAUUUUCCCCUCCCUUUGUGGCUCCAAACACUGCAAUAUAAAAUCUUCCAGCCUUAGCAAAUGAACAUAUGGGUGAAACUUAUGUGUGAUACAAGUAAGCCAGGCGAGUUAAUAGCCACCAUGUCCCUCACCUCUGUAGAUCUAAAGAGACUCUUUCCCACAGUUCAGACAUAAGUUUAACUACCCUCUAGCAAGCUCAUUUCCCAGCCAGGUUGCAGGUGGCAAUGAAAGACCUGCUCUUCAUCUCAAGGCAGAAAGCAUGCAAAGCUGCACUGGGCUUGGUGUGGUGGCUGAGGACCUGUGCCAGCCCUAACAAAUGCAAGCUGUGAAGUAUUUAGAUACAACUGCAGGUAUCACAUCAUAAACAGGUAACUUUUACUUGGCUGUUUUGCAAAAACAAAGUCCAGUAUUUACAAAUCUCUUUGUGAAGGCACAUGAGCACUCCAAGGAACUCUGCUGACUCACUGAGCCUUUGCAGUGAAAGGAGACCACAAGUUCUUGAGGAGCAGCGUACACGUGGCAGGAGAGCUCUUGGGUGGAGCUUGAAUUUCUUACAGGAAGGCAGCAGAAUCCAUUUUGAGCAGUCUGAAAGGGAAAGGACUGCACUGGCAGGGAAGUGAAGGUAAGAUGGUGAGGAAAAGAGAUCACCUUGAUUAACACAGUCUGUUACUAGAAAAUGUAUUCCUAAAUGACCAAUCUGUAUGUGAAAUUUUUUGGGGGGUUUUGCUAGUAUCUGUUGCAUUGAUUAUUUCAUUAUCUGUGAACAGGUUUAUCUGGUAAAGAAUUUCUUCCUCAUAUCUAUCCAUCACCCUAUGUCCUAUCCCUACAUGUGCUUGUAAAAAGUCUCUCUCCAGUUUUCUUGCAGGCUCCUUUUAGGUAGUGGAAGGCUGCUGUAAGGUCUCCCAAGAGCCUUCUCUUUUCCAGAUGGAACAGCUCCAGCUGUCUCAGCCCAUCUUCACAGAAAAGGAACAUGUAUGUAACAGCCUUAAAGACAAUUGAUUAAAAAUGUGAUGCUUUCCCUGACACAAGAGCAUGGAGCUGGACACCAAACAGGCAAUUCCAGCACCUUGUUGUGAGCCAUCCUCCCUGCUGCCUCAUCUAAACACUGGGGUGCUGGAUUCAUACAGAGGUUACCAUCACAGGUAAUCCAGGCAGGUGAACACCCAUGUCUGUGGGCUGCCAGUGGGCAGUGGGUGCCUGAGGACCCUCAAGUCCCUUGACAGUGUUAUAUCAAUUAAAGGCACACAUUUGCUGGUGCUACAAAACUGAAACCCCUUCGUGCCAUCUUUGCUUGGAUUGCCUCCUCAGCAUUCUCCUUCUGAGUGCAAGGAAACAGCAAUGGGAAGAAGGGCUGU
rnacentral:lncRNA from 1 species